GUAGAUCCGGAACUUUUAAAAGAUAUUGACAAGUCAAUUGGUACGGAUUUAACAAUGUCUCCACUACCAAGUGAACAAAGUGAGAACAUUCCUGCUACUAAUGCAACAACUAAGAGUGUGUCUGCUACACAUAACACAACUGACAAAGAGAGUAGGGAUGAAAGCAAGCAAGAAGAAGUUCAACCAAAAGUGCAAAGCAAUCCAGUAAA